rnacentral:sRNA from 1 species
GAUCAGCGGCGAUAUCCUCUCCUCCUCCCUGGAUAUCGCCGCACCCUAAUCCGAAAUCAGAGGCUGCUCUCCUCCUCCCUGCAGCAUCUGUAUUUUAGCGGUGGCGCCUCUCCUCCUCCCUGGCGCCACCGCUUUUU